GAUGAACGCUGGCGGCGUGCUUAACACAUGCAAGUCGAACGAUGAAGCUCAGCUUGCUGGGUGGCUUAGUGGCGAACGGGUGAGUAACACGUGAGUAACCUGCCCUUAACUCUGGGAUAAGCCUGGGAAACUAGGUCUAAUACCGGAUAGGAGCGCCUACCGCAUGGUGGGUGUUGGAAAGAUUUAUCGGUUUUGGAUGGACUCGCGGCCUAUCAGCUUGUUGGUGGGGUAAUGGCUCACCAAGGCGACGACGGGUAGCCGGCCUGAGAGGGUGACCGGCCCCACUGGGACUGGGGCACGGCCCAGACUCCUACGGGAGGCAGGAGGGGGGAAUAAUGCGGAAUGGGGCGAAGCCUUAUGCAGCGACGGCGGGUGGGGGAUGGCGGCCUUCGGGUUGUGAACCUUUUUCCGGAGGGAAGAAGCGAAAGUGACGGUACCUUCAAAAGAAACACCGGCUAACUACGUG
rnacentral:rRNA from 1 species